rnacentral:rRNA from 1 species
UACGUAGGGCGCAAGCGUUGUCCGGAAUUAUUGGGCGUAAAGAGCUCGUAGGCGGUUUGUCACGUCGGCUGUGAAAACCCGAGGCUCAACCUCGGGCCUGCAGUCGAUACGGGCAGACUAGAGUGCUGUAGGGGAGACUGGAAUUCCUGGUGUAGCGGUGAAAUGCGCAGAUAUCAGGAGGAACACCGGUGGCGAAGGCGGGUCUCUGGGCAGUAACUGACGCUGAGGAGCGAAAGCGUGGGGAGCAAACGGG